AGCGAACGCUGGCGGCAGGCCUAACACACGCAAGUCGAACGAACUCUUCGGAGUUAGUGGCGGACGGGUGAGUAACACGUGGGAACGUGCCUUUAGGUUCGGAAUAACUCAGGGGAACUUGUGCUAAUACCGAAUGUGCCCUUCGGGGGAAAGAUUUAUCGCCUUUAGAGCGGCCCGCGUCUGAUUAGCUUGUUGGUGGGGUAAUGGCCCACCAAGGCGACGAUCAGUAGCUGGUCUGAGAGGAUGACCAGCCACAUUGGGACUGAGACACGGCCCAAACUCCUACGGGAGGCAGCAGUGGGGAAUCUUGCGCAAUGGGCGAAAGCCUGACGCAGCCAUGCCGCGUGGAUGAUGAAGGUCUUAGGAUUGUAAAAUCCUUUCACCGGUGAAGAUAAUGACUGUAGCCGGAGAAGAAGCCCCGGCUAACUUCGUGCCAGCAGCCGCCGUAAUAC
rnacentral:rRNA from 1 species